AUCGUCGUGAAGUGUGCAAUCCUAGUCCUGAUCGUCGUUACAAAUUACAAUUGAGAUUACAAUCUCAUAUAACAGAGAAGUGAACGAUAAAGUGAGGCUGUGCGAGAGAGAGAGAGAGAGAGAGAGAGAGAGAGAGAGAGAGAGAGAGAGAGAGAGAGAGAGAGAGAAAGAAAGAGACAAUACAAUUGAAACAUGUUGAUGUGUGAUUAUUGAUUUCCUCAUUUUUCUCUCCCUCUAAUUGUGAUACGGACUGUUGCAGCCGUUUCUCUAAACUUAUUCUUACUUGCUCCUUAAGAUCCAAAGAAUCGAGACUUGUCUGCAGCAUCUCUUUUUCCUGACUAAGCUGCGUGCAUUGCGAACGACACGUAUCCAAUUGAGAUAUAAAUUCUGUCAUUUUGGUACUUAGCGACUGAGCGUUUGCCUCCGCGGUGUCGCACUGCUUGCGUAUUGUUAGAAGCUGUUCCUUAUUGAGCUGCUCGUACUGCGCUUAUAGUACUCUCGGCGAGUGCCGGUAUAGCGCUGCUUCUCGCACUUCUUUUCGGCGAUCUUUGGGAGAUUGGUCCACCGGACGACAAGUGAAUAUGUGGAAGUGCCUGCUUGACGUCGCUCGCAUCCCGACUCUCGGCAUCUUGAAUCACAGCAUGCGCGAUAUCUCUCAAUGCGGAUUCCAGCACUUCGAUGUCCUCUUGCAUACGCGCAGUUUGACUCACUGCCGCUUCAGAAACUCCACAUCUUUCCUCCUAUAUAGACAUCGAAAAACGUAAAAUACAUCUUAAAAAAAGUGGACACUAGACUGCUGGUGAGUGAGGUUGCGACACGUGACAGAAUGAACCCUACGUCCGUAUGAAUAGAUUAUUAUGAUUUUAUGUCGACACCCCGAAUGCGUCAUAGCCUGUGAAACUGUCCAGUCUGUAAUGAAAGGAGUCAAUCAACUCUCGCUGGGUGCGAAACUAGUUAGUCGAUGCUACUAACGAUUUCAUUUCUACGCGAGAGUUAGCUAAAACCCCCUUACAGGGAGCCAACCCCUUGUUUGAAGACUUUGUCGAUCAAUUGUGCGAUAAGAGCGUCGUAUGCAAUUAGAUGUUCGGAUUGCGAUGAUUCUCUGUAAGAGAAACGGGAAGCGGAGCGUUUCUCUUCGGCGAUGAAGGAGAUAGAUAGGUUGGCGGCGAUACAGUUUCCUCAGGGCUUCUCGGCCCAAACGGCGGGGGUGCUUGCGUUCGCCACGAACGGUCGGCCUUCACUGAAGCGCCGUUGGCGUCGGUGUCGCGACGCUUCUAUUCCUGGGGGAUACACCACCCCCGCUCGCAGAGGGUGGAAAGGACGAUCGCGUGCCGCGAACGCCUGUCUGAACGCGGUCCCCUUUGCACCAUAAGUCGGAGGAACAUUGGAGGAGAAGAGAGAGAGAGAGAGAGAGGAGAGAAUGGGGAAAUGCGACUGUAAAAAUGAUACUCUAGUCGCGAUCAACAUCGCGCAAAAUCAACGUUACUGCCUGACCCCGUCGACAAAUAUCAUCUUCUGUAAGCCGUAUGGCACCUCUUGGUUAUAUUUAUUCUGUAUAAUAAUGAAAAGAGGCAAAGCUUCGAACGUGAAGGAAGGACGCGUCGUGCAUCGGAUUGUAAAAUAUUAUUGCCACCAGCGAAUGGCAGCAAGGAUGAGUAUGCGGCUGGCGGUAACUAGACCAUCGCUAUCCCACCAGGUGAAUCGGUUCCCACAAAAUGCCGUGCCUGGAACCACGCGGUUCGCUCAUUGCCUAAGGAAACGACUUUACUUCUUGUUCCACGACGCCUAAACUAAGUUAGUGGACUUUCAGGUCCUUUUACGUUUCAUUACAGCGAGAGAUUCGACUUUGUCGAAAUUAUCAUUUUAUUACAUCAAAGAUAGGGGGGAGAAAUCAUGUAUCAUUAUGCAUAAUAUUAUCGAAUAACUCUCAUCGUCAGUCUCGAGGAAGUAGAAAUAGAUACAGAAGCGUUGGCGAACUUCACUGCGUGAAUGAAUCGCUCAUGUAGGUCUGGAGGAGAAAGAUAGACGUCUUUAUCGCGUGUCUCUCCCGAAGGAGAGUAAGAAAAAAAAUUAAGAGAAGGGAACCGGCAUGUAUAUCGAUUUAUUUUACUAGCCGUCGUCAAGGAACUGCAUUUCAAUAUUAUCGCAUGAUAAGCUUACGUUACACACUAUUGCUCCGUUGUUCAAAUCUCUCCGUGACUCUCGUCCUUAGAAAAAAAAAGAAACAACUCGUAUUUCCGUCACCGCUUGUGUAAGCUUAUCAAAAGAGUGAACAGAGAUAUCGUGUGUCGGAAUAAAAUAUUUGUAUUUUGUAAAAGGUAACCAUAUUGAUACUUAAGACUUACAGAAAAACAUUAGAGGUCUUGGUGCGACUUCGUCUCGGCUAGUUUGAUUUUCGAUAUGCGGCACGUGGAGGAAUCAUUCACGAUAAAACAAUCUCCAGACAGUUUUUGUAUCUUUGCGAGUCUUAUCAAACCAGAGUUUUCCGUUUACUUUUUAUGUUUCUAUUCGCAAAUUUUUUUACGGCCAAAAAGCGGUCCAAUAUUUUCUUCCAAGAGUCUUAAAUUAAAAUUGUUUUAAUUGGAUUCGUAAUAGCUCCGGAUAUAUUAAGUGUAGAAGUUCGAAGAAUAUAUCAAAUGAAAAAAAAUACAAAAAAUUAUAUAUAUAAUAAUUAUUUUUCUCUAUCAUAUGAAUAUAACGAAGUGAAAUGAUUUGUUCAUUGCUGAAACUAAAUCAAAUACAAGGAGUCGUAACAAGCGAUUAUAAUUAUACUAGCCAAAGUCGAAGAUGGCCAAUUAAUUUGACGACAAAAUUGAUUGUUGACGCGGAUAUUUAUCUUCUCGAAGAAGAGAAAGCGAUUGAGUGCAACACAUCUGGAAGAAGAAAGAGAAGGGAGGUGAAAAAGGAGAAGGAAGACAGAUAAUACCGGCAAACUCUUCGAUUUCUGUCUCUCUCUCUCUCUCUCUCUCUCUCUCUC